rnacentral:rRNA from 1 species
AUUGAACACUGGCGGCAGGCCUAACACAUGCAAGUCUAACGAGUGGCGGACGGGUGAGUAAUGUCUGGGAAACUGACUGAUGGAGGGGGAUAACUACUGGAAACGGUAGCUAAUACCGUAUACCAUCAGAUGUGCCCAGAUGGGAUGAGCUUGUGGGUGGGGUAACGGCUCACCAAGGCGACGAUCCCUAGCUGGUCUGAGAGGAUGACCAGACACACUGGAACUUAGACACGGUCCAGAAUCCUAGGGGAGGCAGCGUGGGGGAAUAUUGCACAAUGGGCGCAAGCCUGAUGCAGCCAUGCCGCGUGUGUGAAGAAGGCCUUCGGGUUGUAAAGUACUUUCAGCGGGGAGGCGUUACCCGCAGAAGAAGCACCGGCUAACUCCGUGCCAGCAGCCGCGGUAAUAC